rnacentral:lncRNA from 1 species
UUCAAGCACUUGGUGCGUCGAGUCUUUGAAUUGACUCCACCAGGCGAUCUACCAUCGGAGUCGAUCACGAAAUUGAUCUGCGCUUAUGACAUCAUGGAUACGACUCAUUUGCGUAGUAAGACGACAACAACUAUUGACCGCAAGGCUGGAAGUUGACACCCACUAUGAAAGGCCUCUCCACCAUCGCACCCGUGACUUGCUCCACGCGUUGCGAUUGACGAAUAUUAAAAGAUUAUGUCUGUAGUGGAAUUCUGCCCAAGUGGAAGACCAUUUUUUUUUUCUAUUUCUUUCUCUCUCUCUCUCUUUUAGGCCC